GAUGAACGCUGGCGGCGUGCCUAAUACAUGCAAGUCGAGCGAACAGACGAGGAGCUUGCUCCUCUGACGUUAGCGGCGGACGGGUGAGUAACACGUGGAUAACCUACCUAUAAGACUGGGAUAACUUCGGGAAACCGGAGCUAAUACCGGAUAAUAUAUUGAACCGCAUGGUUCAAUAGUGAAAGACGGCUUUGCUGUCUGUUCUAGCUGGAUACCGGCCGGAUUAGCUGGUUGGUAAGGUAACGGCUUACCAAGGCAACGCUGCGUAGCCGACGUGAGAGGCUGAUCGCCCACCCUGGAACUGAGCCACCGUCCAGACUCCUACGGUAGGCAGCAGUAGCGAAUCUGCCGCAAUGGGCGAAAGCCUGACGGAGCAACGCCGCGUGAGUGAUGAAGGUCUUCGGAUCGUAAAACUCUGUUAUUAGGGAAGAACAAAUGUGUAAGUAACUAUGCACGUCUUGACGGUACCUAAUCAGAAAGCCACGGCUAACUACGUG
rnacentral:rRNA from 1 species